rnacentral:piRNA from 1 species
UAAUCAGCUUAGUUCUGGACGAAUGUAGC